AGUGACCUCUAAAGGCAGCUGCUCUGAGCCGUGUACCACAUUUUGUUAAACCUCACGCUUUGUAAGACGCAUAAUGCCGAUGUCCUUAGAGGCUCGACGCGGGGAAUUCUCCCCCGAACGGCCCCGUGUUACCCCCCACCCCCACGCCGUGAAGCCCCUCUCCGCGCUCUCGCCACACCCGCAGGUGAGGCCGCCCGCACUCCUCCCCCACCGCCGGGGACCGGGGCCGGGCUGUGCUGCCGGCCGCCUCACUCCUCCGUUCCCCGAGGCUCGGCGGUCGGAGCCCGGCGGACCGGGUCGGGGCUGUAGCAGCCUCGAGUAGCGGUACCUCGCCCCAAGCCGGCCGGUACGGGUGCUGCUCCGAGUCGAAUGUGGCUGCAGUGUUAAGCUGGCUCAACAUCCUUUGUAAUACCUCUACAGAGGCAGUUAUACAGAGAACAAGAGAAUGUAUGACACAGUUCUGCAAGCAAGAAAGAAAAGGCAGGAAGUCCCAGGCCACCUUCUACCUACAAGAACAACAUAAGUGGAAGAAAGGUUGAAUGUAGCAGAAAUGACACAAGAAUGGAUUUCAGUGGAGAUCUCUGAAGAAGAAUUACCUCUGAACGUAAUAUGGUGUCCAAAAAAAGCACAACUGAUAGCUGCCAAGACCAUGUGGUCCUAAAAUGCUAUCAGUGGUCAAAGCAAAUUAAAAUUUAUUAAGGGAUCCUCAUGUAUAAUUUUACCACAGUAGGAUUAUACUACCAGCUCUGCAAAGGGAGAUUUAGUCAAGUAAUUCUCAUUAAGGGGCAAAACCCCUCUGACUUCUGCAGGUACUUUGCCUGAUUAAGCACUGAAGAACCAGGCCUUAAGGUUGGCACAGCUGAGCUCUAACCUGUCUGCCUUUAUGCAAGACACAGCUUCAUAUAUCAGCUCCAGCUCAUGCAGAGGAGUCUUACCAGGCACUCUAAUCCUAAGGGGAAACAUUUCAUUGCAAUGCACAGUAAUUUGCAUUCUUUCACAGAAUUCUGCUAUUACAUUAUCCAUUUUUCUCUUGAUUAAAAGAGAUCAAGAAGUGCACACUCUCACACUACACAUGCAGGCUUUCCAUACAGGAGGCCUGGAAUCUACAUUCAAAUUCAGACUGGAGGAGAUCUGGCAACUUCUAGCUCUUUAUGGAUUUAUGCUGUUCUAAUAACAGUCACAAAUUACUGAUAAUUAUCAAGGAGGGAAGUUACUAUAAUGGGGUUUUCUUGUUGAGUUUCUAAGACAUUCAAGUGUAUCAAGAUAUUUCGGAAGUAUCCAGUGCCGAGGAGUUCUUAAGCACCACAAGCCCUGUGAGCUUGGGCAGAUGCUUUUGAUUUUGCUCACUGCAGAUCAACCUAUGAUGUUAGUUAAUUUCUGGAGCAUAUGGAACUGAAGCUACAUUGGCACAAACGAAACUGCA